GAUGAACGCUGGCGGCGUGCCUAAUACAUGCAAGUCGAGCGAACAGACUAGGAGCUUGCUCCUCUGACGUUAGCUGCGGACGGGUGAUUACCACGUGGCUAACCUACCUAUACGACUGGGAUAACUUCGGGAAACCGGAGCUAAUACCGGAUAAUAUAUUGAACCGCAUGGUUCAAUAGUGAAAGACGGUUUUGCUGUCCCUUAUAGAUGGAUCCGCGCCGCAUUAGCUAGUUGGUAAGGUAACGGCUUACCAAGGCAACGAUGCGUAGCCGACCUGAGAGGGUGAUCGGCCACACGGGAAGUGAGAGAAGGUCCAGACUACUACGGGAGGGAGCAGUAGGGAAUCUUCAGACAAGGGCGAAAGCCUGAAGGAGGAAUGCCGCGUGAGUGAUGAAGGGCUUCGGAUCGUAAAACUCUGUUAUUAGGGAAGAACAAAGGUGUAAGUAACUAUGCACGUGUUGACGGUACCUAAGCAGAAAGCCACGGAUAACUACGUG
rnacentral:rRNA from 1 species